AUGUUCACACCCACAGCCGAUGGUCGUGAUGAUGACAUGAACAUGCCCACACUCACAGAGGGCUUUGUGCCAUUCAAAGAUUCCAGGUCAGAAUUAGAAUUACAAGUGGCCACCUGUGUCAUCAGCAUUGUGACAAGCCAUCCUGUGCCUUCUCAGUUCUUCUCCCAGCCCACUGAUGGAGGGUCACGUUCCCCUCCCACAGACAGCAGGAUCCUGCCAGGAGCCCGGGCUCAGCAGAGACAUCCUCACCAUCCCCCAUGUUAUCACCAUGACAGCUCAGAGAGGAAUUAUGGACCCAAGACCUCUCUCCCCUGCUGGCUCUCCAAUUCAGUCCGAAGAUGGGGACAGAGACCACGGGAAGGUCACAGCACUUCUAAACCCUCUGGACUGGAAGUGGCACUUGCUGGACCCACUCAUGUUCCACUGUGGCCCCAGCAGCCCCCUGAGAUGCAACGCAAUGUCCCCGGUCAGCAGGGGCAGCCACUAUAG
rnacentral:lncRNA from 1 species